rnacentral:sRNA from 1 species
UGGCCAGGUGAGGGCCACUGCAAUUGAC